AGUUCGUAGGUGACCUGCGGAGGAUCAUUAUUGAAUGUUUGAAGCAGUUGAGCUGGUCUUAACGGACAUGUGCUUGCUGCUUCUAUUCAUCUCAUCCACCUGUGCACUUAUUGUAGAGCUUUGAGGAACGUCCCUAGGACUAGUAUUCAGGUUCUAUGUAUUUUAUACAAACUCUAUGAAUGUCUUGAAUGUCUUUUAUUGGGACUUAACUGGCCCUUUAAACUUUAUACAACUUUCAGCAACGGAUCUCUUGGCUCUCGCAUCGAUGAAGAACGCAGCGAAAUGCGAUAAGUAAUGUGAAUUGCAGAAUUCAGUGAAUCAUCGAAUCUUUGAACGCACCUUGCGCCUCUUGGUAUUCCGAGAGGCAUGCCUGUUUGAGUGUCAUUAAAUUCUCAACUUCAAAAGCUUUUGUCUUUUUGAAGCUUGGAUGGUGAAGGCUUGCUGGCGUUUUAAAUGUCUCAGCUCCUUUGAAAAGUAUUAGUGGACCCGUUUGUGUUCAUUCCUUAGUGUGAUAAUUAUCUACGCUGUGGUCUUUGAAUGCAUAUGCGCUCAUUAGAAUCUUUCGAGCUGUUGUUUUUACUACAGUCUCGGUGUGGAGAGUUGCAUGAAUUUGCUCUUUCUGUCUCUUGAGUCAGGAUUGUCUGCUUCAAACCGUCUACACAUUGUAGACAAUUUUGAACCAUUUGACCUCAAAUCAGGUAGGACUACCCGCUGAACUUAAGCAUAUCAAUAAGCGGAGA
rnacentral:rRNA from 1 species